UACGGAGAGUGGCAAGCGUUAUCCGGAAUUAUUGGGCGUAAAGCGUCCGCAGGCGGUCUUGUAAGUCUGUUGUUAAAGCGUGAAGCUUAACUCCAUUUCAGCAAUGGAAACUGUAAGACUAGAGUGUGGUAGGGGCAGAGGGAAUUCCCGGUGUAGCGGUGAAAUGCGUAGAUAUCGGGAAGAACACCAGUGGCGAAGGCGCUCUGCUGGGCCAUAACUGACGCUCAUGGACGAAAGCCAGGGGAGCGAAAGGGAUUAGAUACCCCUGUAGUCCUGGCCGUAAACGAUGAACACUAGGUGUCGGGGGAAUCGACCCCCUCGGUGUCGUAGCCAACGCGUUAAGUGUUCCGCCUGGGGAGUACGCACGCAAGUGUGAAACUCAAAGGAAUUGACGGGGGCCCGCACAAGCGGUGGAGUAUGUGGUUUAAUUCGAUGCAACGCGAAGAACCUUACCAGGGUUUGACAUCCUGCGAAUCUUUUAGAAACAGAAGAGUGCCUUCGGGAACGCAGUGACAGGUGGUGCAUGGCUGUCGUCAGCUCGUGUCGUGAGAUGUUGGGUUAAGUCCCGCAACGAGCGCAACCCACGUCGUUAGUUGCCAGCAUUUAGUUGGGCACUCUAGCGAGACCGCCGGUGAUAAACCGGAGGAAGGUGUGGAUGACGUCAAGUCAUCAUGCCCCUUACAUCCUGGGCUACACACGUACUACAAUGCUACGGACAAAGGGCAGCAAACUCGCGAGAGCUAGCAAAUCCCAUAAACCGUGGCUCAGUUCAGAUCGUAGGCUGCAACUCGCCUACGUGAAGGAGGAAUCGCUAGUAAUCGCAGGUCAGCAUACUGCGGUGAAUACGUUCCCGGGCCU
rnacentral:rRNA from 1 species